rnacentral:rRNA from 1 species
GAGAGAGACAUGCGCGCAUAUCAAUAAGCGGAGGAAAAGAAACUAACAAGGAUUCCCUUAGUAACGGCGGGUGAAGCGGGAAGAGCUCGAAUUUGAAAUCUUCAAGGUUUUACCUUGACGAAUUGUAGUUUAAAGAAGUGUUUUCUGCUGAAGUUUUGGUAAAAGUUCUUUGGAAUAGGACAUCAUAGAGGGUGAGAAUCCCGUAUUUGACCAUUAUUUUCAGCUUUGUGAUACACUUUCAAAGAGUCGGAUUGUUUGGGAAUGCAGUCCAAAAUGGGUGGUAAAUUUCAUCUAAAGCUAAAUAUUGGCGAGAGACCGAUAGCGAACAAGUACCGUGAGGGAAAGAUGAAAAGAAUUUGAAAAGAGAGUUAAACAGUACGUGAAAUUGUCAAAAGGGAAGCGUUUGACACCAGUGUUGUUUUCUCGAAAAUCAAUUAAAAAUGGCUCGAUUUUGUAUUGCUGAGACCUUAAAAGCUCACUGUACAUUUUUCGUGUCUUUUUUAAUGCACUUUUCGUUUAACAAGUCAACAUCAGUCUCUUUUGUUGUAAAAGGGUCAUUGGAAGGUGGCUUUCUUUUCGGAGAAAGUGUUUAUAGCCUUUGGCCUCUGCAAUCGGAGAGACUGAGGUCUGCAGCGUAGACUCUUCGGGGUUAGAUACAUUUGUGCUAAGUUAUAGCUUUUUAUAGACAACUUGUUAACUAUAAUUAGUCUUGUAGCUUACUCGCUUAUGCUAUUUUACCUACGCUUAGGAUGUUGAAGUCAUCGUAUCGCGC